UCCCCACAGGAAUCAGCCUUGGUAAAGGGG
rnacentral:piRNA from 1 species